AUUGAACGCUGGCGGCAUGCCUUACACAUGCAAGUCGAACGGUAACAGGUCUUCGGAUGCUGACGAGUGGCGAACGGGUGGGUAAUACAUCGGAACGUGCCCAGACGUGGGGGAUAACGAGGCGAAAGCUUUGCUAAUACCGCAUACGAUCUAAGGAUGAAAGCAGGGGACCGCAAGGCCUUGCGCGCUUGGAGCGGCCGAUGGCAGAUUAGGUAGUUGGUGGGAUAAAAGCUUACCAAGCCGACGAUCUGUAGCUGGUCUGAGAGGACGACCAGCCACACUGGGACUGAGACACGGCCCAGACUCCUACGGGAGGCAGCAGUGGGGAAUUUUGGACAAUGGGCGAAAGCCUGAUCCAGCAAUGCCGCGUGCAGGAUGAAGGCCUUCGGGUUGUAAACUGCUUUUGUACGGAACGAAAAGGCUCUGGCUAAUACCUGGGGCACAUGACGGUACCGUAAGAAUAAGCACCGGCUAACUACGUG
rnacentral:rRNA from 1 species